rnacentral:rRNA from 1 species
CCCUUCCCCAGGGCGCGUUCGGAAGCCUAUGCAACCCUUCAAGGGGUCCGCGACUGUAAAUAACGGAUGCAAGUAGCGUCAGCUGCAACAUGAUCGAAUUGCGGGGACGUCCUAAAGCCUAGCGGUACCAACACUCGGGGGAAACCCCGGGUGGGCCUGUGUUAAUCGCACGGGAGGUCAGAACCCGCUAGGAUGCUACAGUGGAUGAUCCGCAGCGAAGCCCCUACCGGCGCAAGCCCACGGGGAACGUCCACAGACUAAGUGGUUAUGGGUAGAGCGCGCUCUGCUUAAGAUAUAGUCGGUCGCCCGGGAAACUGGCGCGGUUAAACGUUCCGUAGGUGAACCUGCGGAAGGAUCAUUA